GGCCUGCUUGAAAUUAGGGAUAAGGCCCGGCUUAAAUCCUCAGAGCGUCCCACAUCAAAAGGGAGAUGGCUCGCAAGGAAAAAAAAAAGGAAAGAAAACUGUUCAAUCUGGACGGCGUGUUCAUGAAAAUAUCAAAUCCAAAACUGGCUGAGCCUCAUCUGCCAGUGAAAGCCAAUUUUUCAGUUAAUGGCCGGGAUUACCCGGUUGGAAUGUCAUUUGCUAAGACUGAGCCACUGCCAAAAGGAAUUAAAAUUGGAGACGCGAGUCGUUUAAUGUUGCCAAUCGAGAAACCUUUCUUUGCAGCUCUUUUGCAAGUUAUUGCGAUGGCUAAAAUCCC